rnacentral:rRNA from 1 species
AAAUACUCCUGAGAGACCGAUAGUGGACCAGUACCGUGAGGGAAAGGUGAAAAGAACCCCGAACAGGGGAGUGAAAAAGAACCUGAAACCGUGUGCUUACAAGCGGUCGGAGUUUCGAUUUAUCGGAAUGACGGCGUGCCUUUUGCAUAAUGAGCCUACGAGUUGCUCCUAUAUGGCGAGGUUAAGUGUUUAAGACACGAAGCCGAAGCGAAAGCGAGUCUUAACAGGGCGCAUAAGUCAUAUGGGGCAGACGCGAAACCUUGUGAUCUACCCAUGGUCAGGUUGAAGUUUUGUUAACACGAAAUGGAGGACCGAACAGAUAAACGUUGAAAAGUUUCCUGAUGAACUGUGGGUAGGGGUGAAAGGCCAAUCAAACUGGGAGAUAGCUCGUACUCCCCGAAAUGCAUUUAGGUGCAGCGUUGCGACAAGUUUAUUAGAGGUAGAGCUACUGAUUGGAUGCGGGGGUUUCAUCGCCUACCAAUUCCUGACAAACUCCGAAUGCUAAUAAAUGUUUCGCAGCAGUGAGGGCAUGGGUGCUAAGGUCCAUGUCCGAGAGGAGAAGAAUCCAGACCAUCAGCUAAGGUCCCCAAAUAACAGCUAAGUUGAAUUAACGAAGUCAGAUUGCAAAGACAGCUAGGAUGUUGGCUUGGAAGCAGCCAUUCAUUUAAAGAGUGCGUAACAGCUCACUAGUCGAGCGACCUUGCAUGGAUAAUACGCGGGCUUUAAGUAUACUGCCGAAGCUGCAGAUUUGAUAGAAAUAUCAACUGGUAGGGGAGCAUUCUAUUCAGCGGCGAAGAUGUGUUGUGAGGCAUGUUGGAGCGGAUAGAAAAGCAAAUGUAGGCAUGAGUAACGAUAAUGGAGGCGAGAAACCUCCACACCGAAAAGCCAAGGUUUCCCGGGCUAUGUUAAUCAGCCCGGGGUUAGUCGGGACCUAAGGAGAACCCGAAGGGGAGAUUCGAUGGACAGGGGGUUAAUAUUCCUCCACCUUGUAUACAAUAAAAGUGACGGAUUGCCGAGGUCAUCACGUACUGACGGAAUAGUGCGUAGAGCUUAGCCUUCGGGUGAAGCGAGAUGGAUACAGUGGUUCCAAGAAAAGCGAGUAUACAGGCCCGUACCGUAAACCGACACAGGUGGCUGGGAAGAAUAUUCUAAGGUGCUCGGGAGAUUCACGGUUAAGGAACUAGGCAAAAUAACCCCGUAACUUCGGGAUAAGGGGAGCCAUCAGUCAUGGUGGCCGCAGAGAAAUGAUCCAAGCGACUGUUUAGCAAAAACACAGGGCUAUGCAAAUUCGAAAGACGACGUAUAUGGCCUGACACCUGCCCGGUGCCGGAAGGUUAAGUGGGGAUGUUAUCCGCCUUGGCGGAGAAGCAUUGAAAUGAAGCCCCGGUAAACGGCGGCCGUAACUAUAACGGUCCUAAGGUAGCGAAAUUCCUUGUCGGGUAAGUUCCGACCUGCACGAAUGGUGUAACGAUUUGGAUACUGUCUCGACCGUGAGCCCGGUGAAAUUGUAGUAUCGGUGAAGAUGCCGAUUACCCGCGAUGGGACGGAAAGACCCCGUGAACCUUUACUAUAGCUUAACAUUGUUCCUGGGCACGUAAUGUGUAGGAUAGGUCGGAGACAGAGAUGCGGCGUCGCCAGGCGUCGAGUAGUCACCCUUGAAAUACGACCCUUUGCGUGUUUGGGAUCUAAUCCCGAGCAAUCGGGAGACAUUGUUUGGUGGGUAGUUUGACUGGGGUGGUCGCCUCCAAAAGAGUAACGGAGGCUUCCCAAGG